rnacentral:rRNA from 1 species
GAUGAACGCUGGCGGCGUGCAUAACACAUGCAAGUCGAACGAGGAAACUCUAAUGAACCCGUCGGGGAGAAUUAAAGCGGAUUAGUGGCGAACGGUUGAGUAACGCCUGAGUAACCUGCCUUACACAAGUGGAUAGCCCUUGGAUACGAAGAAUAAUAUCCUAUAAAACCAUAAAAGCACAUCCAAUUAUGGUCAAAGUGAUGGCGGGGGAUGAUGGAAUUGCGUCUGAUUAGCUAGGUGGGGAGAUAAAAGCCCACCAAGGGAACGAUCAGGAGCCGGGCUGGGAGGAGUGUCAGCCACACUGGGACUUGGACCACGGCCCGAACCCCACGGGAAGGAAGCAGUGGGGAAUUUGGCAAAAGGGGGGAAACCCUGACGAGGCAAGGCCGCGUGAUUAAGAAGGCCUUAGGGUUGUAAAACUCUUUUGUAUAGGAAGAAAAUGACGGUACUAUAAGAAUAAGAUCCGGCUAACUACGUG